rfam:Puccinia graminis f. sp. tritici CRL 75-36-700-3 supercont2.5 genomic scaffold, whole genome shotgun sequence.
GGCUGCCUGGCCCAAUGGUCAAGGCGCUUGACUACGACUGCGCACUGCACAGCUGGUAUCAAGAGAUUCCAGGUUCGAGUCCUGGGGUGGUCG